rnacentral:rRNA from 1 species
UACGAAGGGGGCUAGCGUUGCUCGGAAUCACUGGGCGUAAAGGGUGCGUAGGCGGGUCUUUAAGUCAGGGGUGAAAUCCUGGAGCUCAACUCCAGAACUGCCUUUGAUACUGAAGAUCUUGAGUUCGGGGAGAGGUGAGUGGAACUGCGAGUGUAGAGGUGAAAGUUCGUAGAUAUUCGCAAGAACACCAGUGGCGAAGGCGGCUCACUGGCCCGAUACUGACGCUGAGGCACGAAAGCGUGGGGAGCAAACAGG